rnacentral:rRNA from 1 species
GUGAACGCUGGCGGUAGGCCUAACACAUGCAAGUCGAACGGCAGCACAGUAAGAGCUUGCUCUUACGGGUGGCGAGUGGCGGACGGGUGAGGAAUACAUCGGAAUCUACUUUUUCGUGGGGGAUAACGUAGGGAAACUUACGCUAAUACCGCAUACGACCUACGGGUGAAAGCAGGGGAUCUUCGGACCUUGCGCGAUUGAAUGAGCCGAUGUCGGAUUAGCUAGUUGGCGGGGCAAAGGCCCACCAAGGCGACGAUCCGUAGCUGGUCUGAGAGGAUGAUCAGCCACACUGGAACUGAGACACGGUCCAGACUCCUACGGGAGGCAGCAGUGGGGAAUAUUGGACAAUGGGCGCAAGCCUGAUCCAGCCAUACCGCGUGGGUGAAGAAGGCCUUCGGGUUGUAAAGCCCUUUUGUUGGGAAAGAAAAGCAGCAGGUUAAUACCCCGCUGUUCUGACGGUACCCAAAGAAUAAGCACCGGCUAACUUCGUG